GACGAACGCUGGCGGCGUGCUUAACACAUGCAAGUCGAACGGACAGGCCAUGCUUUUGUGGGGUGCUCGAGUGGCGAACGGGUGAGUAACACGUGAGUAACCUGCCCUUGACUUUGGGAUAACUUCAGGAAACUGGGGCUCUUACCGGAUAGGAGCUCCUGAUGCAUGGUGGGGGUUGGAAAGUUUCGGCGGUUGGGGAUGGAAUCGAGGCUUAUCAGCUUGUUGGUGGGGUAGUGGCUUACAAAGGCUUUGAAGGGUAGCCGGCCUGAGAGGGGGACCGGCCACAAGGGUACUGAGAUACGGCCCAGACGCCUACGGGAGGCAGCAGUGGGGAAUAUUGCACAAUGGGCGGAAGCCUGAUGCAGCAACGUCGCGAGCGGGAUGACGUCCUUCGGGGUGUAAACCGCUUUCGCCGGUGACGAAGCGUGAGUGACGGUAAUGGGUAAAGAAGCACCGGCUAACUACGUG
rnacentral:rRNA from 1 species